UUUUUUUUUUUUUUUUUCCUGUGAGCUCAAUUAAAGAUCUGCUCAACCUGCCUACAUACAAAAUUCAGUAGCCUGUAGGACUUUGAAAUGCUCCACAACCUGGUGUGGAACAGCCACUGGAUCAUUAAUGCUCUGCUUCAAUGUAAAUGUUUAAAAACUAUGCGAGAAUUUAAACGUGAUCUGCCUCCACCAGCCCUGCUGCCAUGCCGCAGAGCAGAGCACUGCAUCCUCGGCACAAGGCAUGGCCACCAGCCUGCCUGCUCUGCUAACAGCACCAAGCCCUGCUGAGCCCUGCCAGGCCCGGCACUGCAAUCAGGAAGAUCCUAUGCAGCUAAGCACUUUGAAAACCUUUUUUCAAAUAACAAUCCAUCCUCGUGACGCUCCUUUAGCUUACGCAUGAAUUGUUACCCCUUUUCUGCAGGUGAGAAGUUACAUGGGAAUGCAGAGGAAGGCUGAGCUGUGGGCUGUAGGCUGCCAGCAAGGGACUCAGAACUCACGUCUUCCUUUGCCUCUUUCUCCAAGAGCUCUGCAAGGUGAUGGGAAGUCUAAAACAUCUGGGGUUUGUUGGGAUGGCUCUGCUCCUGGAUGCCAACCAGGAGGGCCAAAGCAGCCAAGAUCUGCGCUAAUUUCAUAAGUACUGAUUGGAAGAGAACAACACUGCCUUCUAUAAAGGUCACAGCCUGCACAAUCGUACAUUUUGCAUUGCAGAAAGUGAUUUCUGUGACACAGCAAACAAAAGAAAUGAGUGACAACCACGUACUCAAAUUUUGCUCCUUCUGUGUAUCUCAGGUAAAAAGAAAAACCGCUGCUCUCUGAUCUGCGUGUUUUUGGGAAGGUGCUUUCUAAAGCAACCUUUGUAUUUUCACACGUAGCUUUUUUUUUUUCCUAUUUAAAUACAUUUUGAUUAAAAAAAUAAAAUACAAAUAACCUGAAAGCGUAUUCCAGAUUUCAAAUACUGUAUCAGCAACAACGGAAAAUAAAGGUUUUGGCAAAAACAUACACUUCAAGCGUUACCUUUUUGAUUGGUUGAAGUCAUUUACUCCAGUAACACUGUCAUGCUGAGAAAACGAUCUUUUGUCUAUAAGCGGUACACAGCUAUUAAGCAUUUUAGCACAUAAGUACAACAUUUUUCUUUAGUCUGUAGCUCGGCAGAGGCAGAAAUAUGGUGUGAGAAAAAAAUCAGCACUGGAGUUUGGACAGGGAAUUCAACAACAAACAUACAGCCAGCAACGAGAACGGAAUGAAAAAAGCUUUUAAGUAGGAGCACAAAUGGACACACUGAUGGCGAUACCACCUGUACAGCACACGCCUUCGGUCACCCAAUAAUAAGUGUUCCUAAAUACCAGACAAGAAUUUGCCCCAGCAAUUCCCAUACCUGCGAACGCUGCUUAAGUAAUAGGUAGCAAUUUGGUUUGUAAGUUGUCAUUACCAAAACAACUCUGUGCCUGUUUUUUCUUUACAAAAUAAUCUUCAGAAGUCAAAAACUUGAAGAACAUGAGCAAGAAGACAGUCCAAGCGGAUGCCCAUCCAUGGCAAUGCUGAGCAGCAGAAUGGGGGAGGGAAGAGGAAAGGAAGGAAGAGCCAGAGACAUCCUUCCAUUUACUCUUCUAAGGUGUAAAGCCUUCUCCAUCAUGACAGAUUUUUUUAAGAAGCUAUCACACAUUCAUAACACUAAUUGAUUUUCAUAGAGAAGAGAGCAGAUGAGGUCUCUUUGGGAACUGCCUGCUACAUUUCUGCUUGAAAGGAGAUCACUGCUGGUGUGCCUUAGCUCCUUCAUAAAAAAUUUAAUUAACAAUAUCUCCAAGAAGGAAACCACAGUCAGGUCCUCAGCUAUCGUGUGACAACCGGCACUCCAACACACUGCAGCAGACGGUACCUGCGACGCCAAGCAGCCAGCGCUGAGCGGACUCCAGGGAAGCAGCACGACAUGGUGAGAUGCUGGGGAACAUGAGCUGCCCACCCCUACCUGGCACUGACACGCUGUGCUCCUGUUUGUGGUGGUGAUGUGUUUCUGCCUGCGAUUCGGUGGCUAUGCCAGAAAGCAAAUGCUCAACAAACCAUGAUUCCAGCUGAUGAGUUUCACAAAAAUUCCAUUUUGGGACAAGCAGAAGCUGUGCCAUGAGCCCUCUGCUCUCAAAUACACAUAGCCAGUCACUUCUGGACUCUGCAAAUGUACCCUGGACUCAUGUACAGUGCAUGAAAGCACACAUUUUCCGCACUGCACAAUAAUUAACACCAAUCUACAAGAUGAUGGGCUGCAGAUACCCUCCAUGCUGUAUUUUCAGCAUCAGUACUGCUAUCCCUUAAGAACUUCAACCAUUGCAGACACGCUACCAACUUGCUUGACUUACUAUCUAUAACGUCACCACUGAGAAUGUACAUCAUCACUAUCAGCCAGAGAAAAUGAGGCAAGUCUGAGGGAUUAUGGCUGGAGCUGGUACUGAGAGCAGAGGCUCCAGGGCUCCAGAAUACUUCAUUACUUCACAUAACAAUAUGUACGUAUAAUAUAUAUAUAUAUAUACUUGCUUAGCAGUGUUGAGACAGCAACCAAAGAUGACACUCUCCAGCCUUGGUACUGACUCGAACUGUAACAACCACUUUGAUUCACCUCAGAGGAAGCUGUAUUUCAGUCUUGGGUAAAUUUAUCCUUAAGAAUGAGCUGCAGACUCCAGCUAUGUUCAAGUAUUUCUGAAAGGAAGGUCGGGGGAGGGAAAAGAACAUUACAAAUACACUAACUAUCUACCUAUCUCAUCUCCAAGACAGCUGGCAGCAUUAUCUUCCUCUUUGGUAGUUCAAAAAAAAAAAAAAAAAAGUAAAGAAAAAGAAAAAGGAAAAACACUAAUGGGAUGCAAGAAGACCUAUCUUCAUAUGUUGAGUUAGCAUAAACACCAUAGCUCUAUUCAGAGGGCUUUGUCAAAGUGGCAGCCUGGAAAAGUCAAGCUCCCAUGCACCCUCUGGCUCCACUGCCCGGACCACAGUCACCAGGAAGGAAACACCAGGAAAGGGACAACAGGAAAGGCCAUCCCACCUCCAGCAGGACACGGGGUCACUCUAUGCUGUCCAUAUGCACCUGCCACAUCUUGAGGUGGGAAAAAUCCCACAGGUCCCAACAUUUGUAGAAUAUGGAAAUACCUCCAGAUAAUGAGCAGUAAACCACAGUCAGAAAUGAACAAAAUUAAGAAAAGACAACAAAAAGUCAUUCAACAUUUGAAAAUCAGAUCAAGAUGUUUUUGGCAGGAAGGUCAAAAAUAAAUUUAAACCACAGCUUUUAAUUGCUGUGACAGACGUAACAUCAACAUGAUAUACUCCAUUAUGCUCACUGCUGUACUUCCAUAUGAAUACAAACUCACCCUAGUGCUGGAGAUCUGUUCAAGCCUGAAAUAUAGCACCGAGAAAUCAAAGCCCCGGGACUAUUUUGAGAUCUACUUCAUGCUACACUCCAAAGCAAACACCACUGCUAAUAAUGCACAUAUUUUACUGCUUAUGAAAAAACUAAAUGAUAUUAUGCCUUGCAGUUGUUGAUCACUGAUCCCAUACAUGUUUGUAGGCUGGAGACACCAAGAAGCAACUUGAAACAAUCAAGAAAACAAAACCCAAAACAUGCCUAAUGACUAUUUUUAAGGUUUAGGAGCAUUUUGAAAAAACUUACUUAUUGUGCAGAUUAUAUGCCAGUUUAUUCUCAUAACAACAGGCUUUAAUUUUAUCAUUCUCAUUUAAUCAAUGUCUUGAGAUUUAUUUUUUUUAACAGACACAGACUAGAAAAUACCUGCAUUUAGACUAGCCGUUAAAACGUGAGUUCUGCCUAACAAGUGACUGCAGCACCUAUUUUUCUAUCUUCUUAUUUAUUAAGCAGAGCUGUCCAACGGUAAGGAAGACAUGUAAAUCUAACAUGAAAUAUUUAUGUUUGGCGCAAUACCUCCAAGAAUAAAAAAUCAGAAAUGGGCUGGGAAACCUCACUUUGAGAGGAAGAGUAAAAGUAGAGGUUAGCCAGAAAAUACUCUCAGGCAGGUACUGCUGGCCAUGAAGGGCUAAAGCAAUCCUCCAGCACACACAGAAUGGUCGGAGCGCAGCCUGCACAUAACCCAGCAUUUGAGGGGUCCAUCAUUUAAAAUGUGUGGAAAAGCCUAGCAAAGAGAAAAUAAUGUCAUCCUCAAAAGGCCAGCUGACCAAUGAUCAGUGGUAGAAUUAAGUAUUUUCCCUAUGCCUUGCUCUGGGAAAAGAAAGAAGAAAAACCAAGAAACCAAUGAAAUUAAAAAAAAAAAAAAAAAAA
ensembl:lncRNA